UUUGUGUUCUUUAAAUGAUUGGUUAUCUCCUUUCGGCAUGAAAUAAAGUGAAGCUAUUUAUUUGAAAAUUGGUCAUUCUUUCUUACGGAGACGGAGAUGCGGGGUUUGCAGAACAAAACUAGAAAUGGACAAGGAAAAUCACCCCUAAAGACGGCUAAAGACUUAAGCUGAUCGCUCAAAAUGCAUCAAUAUCUACCCGGGACUAUAUUACACGGAAUGUCUUCUGUAGACGACCAUUUUGGGACAUCUCUUUGGAACUUUGAAGUAUUUGAAAUAUCCGCAUAUCUUCGUAAUCACGCAACACAAUGGGCCUUCAUAGAAACUUAAACACAAAUUAAUACGCCUUCUAAUCGCAACCUGCACCACUGACGGCCUAAAACUUCAACCAAUGAAGUUCAUCGGAACCCCUCCCAUAUCACGAAAGGCGACCAUUCACUGACGCGAUCCGCCGAAGGUUAACGCUUGAAGCGCUACUGAUUACGACCAUGCGACCAAGCGCCCCUCAUCUGUUGGUGAUACUAUUUUGUAGAAUGUACCAUCAACAGCUAACAGCCAGACUACCAUACACUGACAUCCCCAGUGUCUAUUAUGAUCUUCUACUGAAGAUUGAAUCCUGACCCACUGGAAUUUCGGAUGCCUUAAUUUCGGAACCUCCACUGAAACCAGCCGACCUUCCUGACAUAUAUUUUACCUUCUCAUCGCAACUUCUGCAGCACAGGACCAGACGACCAUGCACAGACAGGAUAAGACAACCAUUAACUGACGUCAUUCGGUGCGCCUUCUCUUUGGAACCACGACAAGAUUAUACGACCAUCCACAAACGUCACUCAGCAACCCUUUUCAUUGGAACCACUCCCAAUACAAGAGUAGACGACCAUCUUCUGGUGCUUACCCGCGUGACUUAUCAUUUGAACUUCUCCAAAGACAGGACCAGACAACCACCCACCCAUCCACGUAAUCCGGCUUGCCUAUUCUUUAGAACACUACCCUCUUCAGCAGACGAACAUAGGGCUUGAUGUCACCUGCGCAAUCCUUGAUUUGACAACCCCUUUUACAAACCCAACAGAUGAUAAAAUACAGACGGUGGAUCUUUUCAUACCGUAAAGGAUGGUUUGUAUAAGGAAGCGGGUAAUAUAGUAGACAGUACUCUUAAGCCACAUAAUCGAAAUAUUAUCUUUAUGUAAAAUGAGGUGCAAGCAAAUAGGUCUAAACAAAUUAAAUUCACGAGAAUGUCCAAUGUCAAAACAUUUCCGCGUGCAAUGACCAUUUCAAAUUUAAAUAUUGCGAUUUUGUUGUUGAAAAAUUGUUUACGUGCUUUUGUGGAGCGUUGUCUAUAGUUUUAUUCCAUGGUUUAUAAUGAUUAAUGUUCAGUUAAAAUAUUUACUUUAAAAACUAAAAUCAUACUUAAUGAUUUGAUGAAGUUUACAAUACAAAGGUAAGUUUUAUCGGAUUACAUGCUUUUGCUACCAUGCAGCAUUUCAGCGUGACGGAACUACAAGGAAUGCGCAGGUAACUUAUUAUUUCACUUUAUUUGUUUUAAAUUUGUUCUUAUAAAAUGGUUACAUGCACAUUUUUUAUCAUAAUGUGAACAGUUUUACAACUAUUUCAUAAAUGAAAGAAAAACGAGGUGUAAAUACAACAUAAGUUUUUAUGAAUAGUUUUAGUUAAAAACAUAGGAAUAAGAAUACGAAUUUCUUUCGAAUCGUAUUAACAAAGCACAUGUUAAAUAAUAUAGUGGGAUGGCGAUCUUGCGAACGUUAAAAAGCAUUUAUUUUUAUUUUUCAGGGUGUGUUUCCGGUAGUGUGAAGCGUCUGGUGUGAGUGGAAUGUAGCCUUUCCUCACACCAAUGAUCAGCACUGUUGCUAGGCAAUAUUUACCUGGCAACAUUGCAGUCAGUACAUAGCCUCUCCACUACAAGCCCUUUGCAUUGCCGCCACGUGGCAACACACGGAAACUGGAUGCCUAUGGGCUCCAGGCUGAAAUGCAGGGGACUCGGAGGAGGUUUGGCCCCUAGAUGUGGUGAACUGGUCCACCGUUAUGUGGAAAUAACCGGUCACUCACAAACCAGACCCCCAGCUAUGGGAAAAAUAGCAUUUUUUUUACUUAAUAUUGUUACUUCAGAAACUCAUAAAACAUUUAUAAAUUCAAAUUAUUUUGUAAAAAUUCAGCAUAUCUUGUGUACUUGUCGCUUUUUAUUCUACUGGUAGAGUGGCAUAUACAUGUAGCAGUUGCACCGUCAGCAGUCAGUCAGGUGUAAGUUUCGAUACAGUCUUUUGAUUUUGGCGAACUUAUGGGCAUUGAUCAUUUGAGUUUUUUCUCGAAAAACUAAUUUACCUGAAUUUCGGUAUUUGAAGUCUUACCUACAGGUCUAACAGAUAAAUUGCGAGUUUCGUUCCGAUUUUUUUUCCAAAACGUUUUCAGAUAAUUUCAAACCCCGUUAUCACUAGUGUCAAAUAUCAAUGGACCGUAACUUCGUCAUGAUUUCAAAGUGCAGAAGUGGGACUUUUUGUGGUUUACAAACGCAGCUCUUGUUUCUCUAUUUUCUAUUAACAUGCACGCGGAUGUGUGACCAAAUCAGUCGGGUUUCUUUUUGACGUCAGUUCCUGUUGGUCUUUCACGAUGCAACAACCUACAGUAUGGACAUCAGGGAAAACCGGACCACUUUUCUCUUUUGUUCUUUUUGAAAAUGUGAUUUUAGUGCAAAACUUAUAUGAACAUAAUCUAUGUAGCCAUUUAAAUUAACUUAAAGUGAUUUGUAAAAAUAUACUUGUCAAAAUUUGCUAAGGAUCACUUUUUAUUUUCACAUUAACUGUAAUUUAAUUUCAUUUAAAUUGUUAUUUUGCAGGUUUUGAUAUAUUAGAAUGUGUGUUCUUAUGCCCCCGGAUCGAAAGAUCGGGGGUAUAUUGUUUUUGGCCUGUCUAUCUGUCUGUCAUUGUAUGUGUGUGUCACAAAACUUUAACCUUGGUUAACGUUUUGCGAUAACUUUUGAAGUAUUAAACAUAGCAACUUGAUAUUUGGCAUGCAUGUGUAUCUCAUGGAGCUGCACAUUUUGAGUGGUGAAAGGUCAAGGUCAUCCUUCAAGGUCAAGGGUAAAAAACCCACAAAGCGGCGCAUUAUGGGGCAUUGUGUUUCUGACAAACACAUCUCUUGUUUAUUUUAUUUUUAUGUAUGUUUAAGUAUUGAUUUAUCAUUGAUGCGUGACGCUGGCUGAAUCUAGCUAGGGGUAAACUUCAAAUUACACAUAUUAUUAAAAAGUGAUCCUUUGCAAAUUGUGUGUAGUAUAUUAGAAAACCCUAAUAUUUGAAAUACAGUACUAUAUUUGGUGGGUAUCCUUCUGUUAAGAUUCGAUACAUAAACAGUAAAGUAUAUAACUGUAUGAUAUAAAACGCAGUUUCCCAAAUAUUUUCAGAGCUAUUGGUGAUGUCGCGGAAAAAGGUGCUCGUUUUUACCCUGUCGAGGCUCCGUCAGCGAAAUACUUCCUUCUGUAUAUGUUCUGAAAUGUCAAUUUGCGUUCUUAAAUAAAAUGUAACAUGUUU